rnacentral:rRNA from 15 species
CCCGGGAGGGGAGUGAAAUAGAUCCUGAAACCGUGUGCAUACAAACAGUCGGAGCCUCUUCGUGGGGUGACGGCGUACCUUUUGUAUAAUGGGUCAGCGACUUACAUUCAGUGGCGAGGUUAACCGAAUAGGGAAGCCGUAGAGAAAUCGAGUCCGAAUAGGGCGAAUCAGUCGCUGGGUGUAGACCCGAAACCAAGUGAUCUAUCCAUGGCCAGGAUGAAGGUGCGGUAACACGCACUGGAGGACCGAACCGUUGAAUGUUGAAAAAU